GAAGUGGCACUGGCGAAGAGUGCAGCUCCCAGACAAAGUAGAGCGGCUCUUCUUCCUUGCUGCGACUGAUCAAUGGAAUCAGACGAUGAACUCACAGUCUGCUUAGCCCUGAUGACCGGCAACUUGUAACUGACGGCUGUAGGUGCGGCGGAGGAAGGCUUUGAGUUGAAGUCCGGGGAAGCAAGACCACCGGAGACUGCGUAGUUACAGGCCAAUACACUGGAGUUCAUUGUGGCCAUAUUAGAUCGAUGGUGUUUAGGAAUGAUUUUGAUUCGGUGGUGGAAUUUUAUAUACAAGAAAAUUGUAAGAGAUAUAAGUUUGUGGGUGAGACUGAUGGAUAUGAAAAUGGUCUG
rnacentral:lncRNA from 1 species